rnacentral:rRNA from 1 species
AGAGUUUGAUCCUGGCUCAGAACGAACGCUGGCGGCGUGCCUAACACAUGCAAGUCGUACGAGAAAAUCCGCUUCGGCGGGUGAGUAAAGUGGCGCACGGGUGAGUAACGCGUGGAUAAUCUGCCUUUAAGCGGGGAAUAACUUACCGAAAGGUGGGCUAAUACCCCAUAAAGCUAUGGAACUCCGGUUUUCAUAGCCAAAGAGAGCCUCUGCAUGCAAGCCCUCACUUAGAGAUGAGUCCGCGUACCAUUAGCUAGUUGGUGGGGUAAUGGCCUACCAAGGCGACGAUGGUUAGCUGGUCUGAGAGGAUGAUCAGCCACACUGGAACUGAGACACGGUCCAGACCCCUACGGGAGGCAGCAGUGAGGAAUAUUGCGCAAUGGGGGCAACCCUGACGCAGCAACGCCGCGUGAGUGAGGAAGGUUUUCGGAUCGUAAAGCUCUGUCGGGUGGGAAGAAAUGUAUGGAGGUUAACAGCCUUUGUACUUGACGGUACCGCCAAAGGAAGCACCGGCUAACUCCGUGCCAGCAGCCGCGGUAAUACGGGGGGUGCUAGCGUUGUUCGGAAUCAUUGGGCGUAAAGAGCGUGUAGGCGGCUAGGCAAGUCAGAUGUGAAAUCCCUGGGCUUAACCCAGGACGUGCAUUUGAAACUGCUUGGCUUGAGUAGGGAAGAGGGAAGUGGAAUUCCUGGUGUAGAGGUGAAAUUCGUAGAUAUCAGGAGGAACACCGGUGGCGAAGGCGACUUCCUGGUCCUAUACUGACGCUGAGACGCGAGAGCGUGGGGAGCAAACAAGGUUAGAUACCCUGGUAGUCCACGCCGUAAAC